rnacentral:rRNA from 1 species
UACGGAGGGUGCGAGCGUUGUCCGGAAUCACUGGGCGUAAAGGGCGCGUAGGCGGCGUAUUAAGUCAGCUGUGAAAUCUCCAAGCUUAACUUGGAACGGUCAGCUGAUACUGAUGUGCUAGAGUGCAGAAGGGGCAAUCGGAAUUCUUGGUGUAGCGGUGAAAUGCGUAGAUAUCGUAAGGAAGACCAGUGGCGAAGGCGGGUCUCUGGACAGUUCCUGACGCUGAGGCACGAAGGUCAGGGGAGCAAACGGG